GCCAGAUGCAACGGUUGUCGCUGAAGAUGUUUCAGGUAUGCCGGCAUUAUGUCGGCCAGUCCAUGAAGGUGGAGUGGGAUUUGACUACCGCUUGGCCAUGUCAGUUCCUGAUAAAUGGAUUGACUACUUGAAGAACAAAAGAGAUUCUGAAUGGUCGAUGAAAGAUAUUACCUUGAGUUUAACAAACAGGCGAUAUACUGAAAAGUGCAUAUCUUAUGCAGAGAGUCAUGAUCAGGCCAUCGUGGGAGACAAGACUAUUGCCUUUUUCUUGAUGGACAAAGAUAUGUAUUCUGGCAUGUCUGAUUUGAAACCUGCCUCAUCCUCGGUUGAGCGAGGGAUUGCACUUCACAAGAUGAUUCACUUCAUGA
rnacentral:misc_RNA from 1 species